AGUGAACGCUGGCGGUAGGCCUAACACAUGCAAGUCGAACGGCAGCACAGUAAGAGCUUGCUCUUACGGGUGGCGAGUGGCGGCCGGGUGAGGAAUACAUCGGAAUCUACUUUUUCGUGGGGGAUAAAGUAGGGAAACUUACGCUAAUACCGCAUACGACCUACGGGUGAAAGCAGGGGAUCUUCGGACCUUGCGCGAUUGAAUGAGCCGAUGUCGGAUUAGCUAGUUGGCGGGGUAAAGGCCCACCAAGGCGACGAUCCGUAGCUGGUCUGAGAGGAUGAUCAGCCACACUGGAACUGAGACACGGUCCAGACUCCGACGGGUGGCAGCAGUGGGGAAUAGUGGACAAUGGGCGCAAGCCUGAUCCAGCCAUACCGCGUGGGUGAAGAAGGCCUUCGGGUUGUAAAGCCCUUUUGUUGGGAAAGAAAAGCAGCAGGUUAAUACCCCGCUGUUCUGACGGUACCCAAAGAAUAAGCACCGGCUAACUUCGUG
rnacentral:rRNA from 1 species